rnacentral:rRNA from 1 species
AGCGAACGUUAGCGGCGGGCCUAACACAUGCAAGUCGAGCGAGAAAGGGGCUUCGGCCCUGAGUAAAGCGGCGGACGGGUGAGUAAUACGUAGGUAACCUGCCCCCUAGUCUGGGACAACGGUCCGAAAGGACCGCUAAUACCGGAUUCGUUCCUUGGGACUCCGGUCCUGAGGAGGAAAGCUGCCUCGCAAGAGGUGGCGCUGAGGGGAGGGGCCUACGUCGCAUCAGCUAGUUGGUGGGGUAAUGGCCACCAAGGCGAAGACGCGUAGCUGGUCUGAGAGGAUGAUCAGCCACACUGGGACUGAGACACGGCCCAGACUCCUACGGGAGGCAGCAGUGGGGAAUAUUGGACAAUGGGCGCAAGCCUGAUCCAGCCAUGCCGCGUGAGUGAUGAAGGCC